CGUAAGGACGACCUUGCGCAUCUGCUUCAAACGGGGACGGCCCC
rnacentral:ncRNA from 1 species